UACGAAGGGGGGCUAGCGUUGCUCGGAAUCACUGGGCGUAAAGCGCACGUAGGCGGAUCUUUAAGUCAGGGGUGAAAUCCCGGAGCUCAACUCCGGAACUGCCUUUGAUACUGGGGAUCUUGAGUUCGAGAGAGGUGAGUGGAACUGCGAGUGUAGAGGUGAAAUUCGUAGAUAUUCGGAAGAACACCAGUGGCGAAGGCGGCUCACUGGACUGGUAUUGACGCUGAGGCGCGAAAGCUAGGGGAGCAAACGGG
rnacentral:rRNA from 1 species